UCAAUAGAUUUAUAAUAAUGUAUACAAGUACUUUUAAGUCCAUUCUUCAGACAUUUGUGAGUUAGAAAUGUUGGAGUCCAAUACUAGAUCCGCCCGGUAAAGAAAACAAUCUACUACUGUCAAAUUAUGUCGCCCGUUCUCGAUCUGAGCGCGACUUCCUCACACUCUUCAAGGCGUGCCAUUGUCGCAGCUCCAGCUCAUAAAAAACAAUAACUAGCUGUGUGUGUGGGUUUGAAUAAAAAAUGUAUGCGUUAGCUCUGUUGGCUGACAGGAGACAGGACAUGGACAUGUGUCCUUUAUAACAACUGACAGAAGCAUUCCGUUUGGGGAAAAAAAUCCCUGCAUUUUAUGCCUAGCUUAAGUUGCCCAACAAAUUUUCAUGAGCCCACCGCAAACUUCUUCUGCAAGUGGUCUUCGCACAUUCUAAAUUAUUGGCAGGGUUUCUUGGUUGGAGUUUAACACGUCUUGUGCAGUUCAUAUAAAAUUGAAUGCGUGAGCUUUACAGAAUAGUCGAAUAAUUGCCAAUUUACUGGAUUCACUUUUAUGGUACGGAAUAGCAAACGUUUGCUACAAAUAGGACCUAUGAAUUUUUGCACAGCUCAGCCUACAAAAUAAAUUCCAUGCGGUAUCAACGCUUUAUGCAAUCCUCUUAACCCUAGGCAUGGCAUUCUUCUUGGAAAAGAAAUAGUCCAGAUUUAAAGAAUCCGGUUUUAGAGACUCCAGUUUCAAAAGAAGAUGCCGCAACAUUUGCGUAUCCUUUGUCUAUAUUUCUGUUCCUUCGGUGAUUAUAAAUUGGUUACCUGCUUCAAGGAGUCGGCAAGAACAAUCGUUAUCAACCCCUUAUAUGAAAUUACUGCGAACAAUGUCUAAAGAAAAGUCCAA